rnacentral:rRNA from 1 species
UACGGGAGGCAGCAGUGGGGAAUAUUGGACAAUGGGCGCAAGCCUGAUCCAGCCAUGCCGCGUGAGUGAUGAAGGCCCUAGGGUUGUAAAGCUCUUUCAGCGAGGAGGAUAAUGACGUUACUCGCAGAAGAAGCCCCGGCUAACUUCGUGCCAGCAGCCGCGGUAAUA